AGAAACUUAGGAUUACACAAACCAGUGACCUUCAACGUCACAAACAAGAGCUCCCGCUCUUAGUUUCUG
rnacentral:tRNA from 1 species